AAAUAAAGAAGAAAGAAAACAUUCAAAAAGAC
rnacentral:sRNA from 1 species